rnacentral:rRNA from 1 species
UACGGGGGGGGCAAGCGUUGUUCGGAAUUACUGGGCGUAAAGGGCUCGUAGGCGGCCAACUAAGUCGGACGUGAAAUCCCCAGGCUCAACCUGGGAACUGCGUCCGAUACUGGAUGGCUUGAAUCCGGGAGAGGGAUGCAGAAUUCCAGGUGUAGCGGUGAAAUGCGUAGAUAUCUGGAGGAAUACCGGUGGCGAAAGCGGCUUACUGGCCCGUAUCUGACGCUGAUGUGCGAAAGCCAGGGGAGCAAACGGG